rnacentral:rRNA from 1 species
UACGUAGGGGGCUAGCGUUGUCCGGAAUCAUUGGGCGUAAAGCGCGCGUAGGCGGCCCGGUAAGUCCGCUGUAAAAGUCCAGGGCUCAACCCUGGAAAGCCGAUGGAUACUGUGGAGCUAGAGUACGGAAGAGGCGAGUGGAAUUCCUGGUGUAGCGGUGGAAUGCGCAGAUAUCAGGAGGAACACCAAUAGCGAAGGCAGCUCGCUGGGACGUUACUGACACUGAGGCGCGAAAGCGUGGGGAGCGAACAGG